rnacentral:snRNA from 1 species
AUUGCUUCUCUGCCUUUUGGCUAAGAUCAAGUGUAGUAUUUGUUCUUAUCAGGAAUGUUAUGUAUUAAUAACUCAUGGUCAACUGAAUACCAGCCGUA